rnacentral:rRNA from 1 species
AUUGAACGCUGGCGGCGUGCCUAACACAUGCAAGUCGAGCGGUAACAGGUGUAGCAAUACAUGCUGACGAGCGGCGGACGGGUGAGUAACGCUUGGGAAUCUGCCUAUUAGGUGGGGACAACCCGGGAAACGUCGGGCUAAUACCGCAUCCGCUCUACGGAGGAAAGCCGGGACCGGCAAGGCCUGGCGCUAAUAGAUGAGCCCAAGUCGGAUUAGCUAGUUGGUAGGGUAAUGGCCUACCAAGGCGACGAAUCCGUAACUGGUCUGAGAGGACGACCAGUCACACCGGAACUGAGACACGGUCCGGAC